rnacentral:rRNA from 1 species
GACGAACGCUGGCGGCGUGCCUAAUACAUGCAAGUAGAACGCUGAAGGAAGGAGCUUGCUCUUUCUGGAUGAGUUGCGAACGGGUGAGUAACGCGUAGGUAACCUGCCUGGUAGCGGGGGAUAACUAUUGGAAACGAUAGCUAAUACCGCAUAAAAUUGAUUAUUGCAUGAUAGUCAAUUAAAAGGUGCAACUGCACCACUACCAGAUGGACCUGCGUUGUAUUAGCUAGUUGGUGGGGUAACGGCUCACCAAGGCGACGAUACAUAGCCGACCUGAGAGGGUGAUCGGCCACACUGGGACUGAGACACGGCCCAGACUCCUACGGGAGGCAGCAGUAGGGAAUCUUCGGCAAUGGACGGAAGUCUGACCGAGCAACGCCGCGUGAGUGAAGAAGGGUUUCGGAUCGUAAAGCUCUGUUGUAAGAGAAGAACGAGUGUGAGAGUGGAAAGUUCACGCUGUGACGGUAUCUUACCAGAAAGGGACGGCUAACUACGUG